rnacentral:lncRNA from 1 species
GACGUUGUUGGGGUCCGCAGGGAUGCCUCCGUCACGCCUCUCAAUGUACCGCGCCACGUCCUCCCGGAUCAGCUGGAUGCCGGAGCUGACGCUGUAGGCCCCUGGACUCGGGCAGGACAGGAUGGGAAGUACAGAUGCCUGGAGCAAAGGGGAAGGGAGGAGGCUCAUGGACCCUCCCUGCUCAGAGUUCCCCCCGCUCUACGUCCCUCUGUGUUAAAGGUAAAGGCCCUACCUGUGCUCAGGUACCCUCUCCUCCCAAGCCACCUGGCCUCCUCACUCUGCUUCCCUCCUUAGCAGUUCUGCCCUCCUCACUGACCAAGACA